UACGGAGGAUCCAAGCGUUAUCCGGAUUUAUUGGGUUUAAAGGGUGCGUAGGCGGCUUAUUAAGUCAGGGGUGAAAGACGGUGGCUCAACCAUCGCAGUGCCCUUGAUACUGAUGAGCUUGAAUACACUUGAGGUAGGCGGAAUGUGACAAGUAGCGGUGAAAUGCAUAGAUAUGUCACAGAACACCAAUUGCGAAGGCAGCUUACUAAGGUGCAAUUGACGCUGAGGCACGAGAGCGUGGGGAUCAAACAGG
rnacentral:rRNA from 1 species